rnacentral:rRNA from 1 species
UACGUAGGGGGCAAGCGUUGUCCGGAAUCAUUGGGCGUAAAGCGCGUGUAGGCGGUCCGGUAAGUCCGCUGUGAAAGUCGGGGGCUCAACCCUCGGAUGCCGGUGGAUACUGUCGGGCUUGAGUACGGAAGAGGCGAGUGGAAUUCCUGGUGUAGCGGUGAAAUGCGCAGAUAUCGGGAGGAACACCUAUGGCGAAGGCAGCUCGCUGGGACGUUACUGACGCUGAGACGCGAAAGCGUGGGGAGCAAACAGG